UGGCCCCAAGAUGAAAGCGAGGUUGCCAAUUUUAUCGUAGUGCGCACUACCGACAACGUCGCUGCAAACUCUAUCGAUUCCAGAUCUACAAUUUCUCGUGAGCCCUCUGGGUCACUCGAGCACGUUUCCGUGCUAUGGUAUUUAUCUCAUGAGAAUAGUUGUUAUUUUGUACCGAACAUGCCGGUACCGCCUCGGACUUCAUAAAGCAUUCUAUUAAUAACAGACAACGGAACGAAAUGUUCUACAUUCUGCAAGGGGAGAAGAAAAGAAAGUUUUGCGAGCAGGUGUUUCGAUUACACGAUCACUUUUGGGAGAGCUAUGAGAAUAUGGAGUUGUAAAAAAUAAACAUCAGGUAGACAAAAGAAGGGAAGAAGCGCAAAAUGGAUGAAGAAGGAUCUACGAUAAAAAUAUAUUACAAUGACUCGAAAAAUUUUUGGCCAGAAAAUAUAAAAUAUUGAUCAGGAAUGCUUCUUACAUAACAAGUUUAUUGCAAAACAUCCUAGUGCGAUUUAAUUAUAAUUAUUUAUCGAAUCUUUCAUGAAAUAUGAUUACAAACAAAAUAUAAAACAAUGCUAAAAAUAUAUUGUACCGUUAUUUGUGAAUACUGCAUACUUUAAAGAAAAAUGAGGGCACUCGCGUUUAACAACUAUUAAACAGGGUCACUGAACGGUAUAUUUACUCCAUUCGAUUUUAUGCUACCGAACAACGCACCAGAAAGAGCGAUUGUAGAAAAUUCUUAAAAAUCGAUUCUGUAUUAAAAAAUAUUUCUAAUAUAUAGUAUUUUAAUUGAUUAAUUAAAUUAAUAUAAUUUAAAUAAUCAAUUAAUAAAAAAUUAAUGAGUUAUAUGAAUGAUAUAUUUGAAUAUUUGUAUACUUUUGUUACAGAAAUUAUUAUUUAUAGAAACUUCUUUUUACGUUUUAAAAUAUCUUACAAAUUUUUAAAUUUAUAUUAUUAAAAUGUACAAAUAAUAUUAAAGCAUUAAAAAUUUUAAUAUAUAAUAAAUCAUUUUUAUCAUUUCAAAAAAGAAACUCUGAAAUCUAUUCUGAAAAGUAUUCUUACGAUAGUGAAUAGAUAUUUUUCGAUUUUUUUAAUUUCAAAUAUUAUAUUUAACUUAUCAAUAAAACAAUAUUCAUAAAUAUUGUAUAAGCGUAACAGAAGCAAGAAAAAGUUGGGAAUCACUGUAAAUUUCAGUCAAUGUUUUCAACAUGAAUCGUAUGCCUCCUUCUUGAACUCGCCGUCUUAGCUGGUGAAAGUCGCAUGUUCUAUGUGACCAAGAGCCCUUGGAAAACAUACAACGAAGUAUAUACAUGUGCGUAUUUGUACACAUGUACAAUACAUAUAUCGUAGCAUAAUGCUACGUAGUAUAAUGAAAAUAUAGAGAAAUGUGUAGACUGCAUUAUUGUAAAAUAUUAAGCACACUUAACGCAUUUGUAAUAAAUUGUUUGAAUUAAUAAGAAAUAUCAUAUCGAUUUUUUUGUAUUAUAUUUAUAAAAUGUUUCUCUAUAAAAAUUAAGUACAAAAAAAUAUUUUUAAAAAUUUUUUUGAUAAAUUUUGCAUGGAUGAAAAAAAAAUAAUCUAUAUAUAAUAAAUAUAUUUUCUAAAAUAUUAUUAUUACAAUAUUAUUUUGAUCUUUAUUCACGUCUAUAAAUUUAGAAUAAUAAAUAUGUACACAAUAUGUGUACUAGUUUUUAUCAUUCACUCACGAAUCUACGUAUUUUAAAAUAAAAAAAUAUAAAACACUAAAUUAUUCUUAUAAACGAUUGCCACAAAUUAUUAUAUUUUUUUAAAAAAACAGACAAACUUUAUCGACACUUCGAAAGAAAAAAACUCUGUAUCAAGAUCAUCCGAACGGCGGAUGAGCGACCAACCAGUAUACGAGUUCGCAGAACGAUGAUCGAGGCAAGUAUACGGAGUGCUCCGUUUACCAAGCUGCCAACUCUGUCGCUUUGCUGUGCGAGAGGGUAAAAGAUGCGAUGUUGUCGGGCCAACAACACGUAAACGACCGGCACAGCAUGGCAACGUCGCGAAACGAGAGACACGCUGUGAACCACGAAGGAGAAGGCAACGUAGUCGUUUCGGUUUGAAACGCAAUGCCGGCCGCUUGCCAGAUACCGUAACAGGGUCGACGGAUGAAGAAAUUUGGCGGUAUCGGCUUCUUCAUGCAGGUGUUCAUCGAGGAGACCUCGAGAUCUGAAAUCUAAAAAAUUCUUUGCGGCAAAAUAUCCCUAAUCUAGAGAAAUCUACAAUAUUCUUAAUACCAAUAUCUUUUUAUUGAUAUUUUAUACUGAAAUAUUAAAACGAAUAUUCAAGAAAAGAAAUAUCAAAAUUUUUUUUUAUAAUUCAAAAAGAAAAACAAAAAUAAU